CCUACGGGCGGCAGCAGUGGGGGAUAUUGGACAAUGGGGGGAACCCUGAUCCAGCGACGCCGCGUGAGUGAAGAAGUAUUUCGGUAUGUAAAGCUCUGUCAGCAGGGAAGAAAGCAAUGACGGUACCUGACCAAGAAGCCCCGGCUAACUACGUGCCAGCAGCCGCGGUAAUACGUAGGGGGCAAGCGUGAUCCGGAAUUACUGGGUGUAAAGGGGGCGUAGACGGCUGUGCAAGUCUGGAGUGAAAGGCGGGGGCCCAACCCCCGGACUGCUCUGGAAACUGUAUGGCUGGAGUGCAGGAGAGGUAAGCGGAAUUCCUAGUGUAGCGGUGACAUGCGUAGAUAUUAGGAGGAACACCAGUGGCGAAGGCGGCUUACUGGACUGUAACUGACGUUGAGGCUCGAAAGCGUGGGGAGCAAACAGGAUUAGAUACCCGUGUAGUC
rnacentral:rRNA from 1 species